rnacentral:rRNA from 1 species
ACUCCUACGGGAGGCAGCAGUGGGGAAUAUUGCACAAUGGGCGCAAGCCUGAUGCAGCCAUGCCGCGUGUGUGAAGAAGGCCUUCGGGUUGUAAAGCACUUUCAGCGAGGAGGAAGGGUUCAGUGUUAAUAGCACUGUUCAUUGACGUUACUCGCAGAAGAAGCACCGGCUAACUCCGUGCCAGCAGCCGCGGUAAUACGGAGGGUGCAAGCGUUAAUCGGAAUUACUGGGCGUAAAGCGCACGCAGGCGGUUUGUUAAGUCAGAUGUGAAAUCCCCGCGCUUAACGUGGGAACUGCAUUUGAAACUGGCAAGCUAGAGUCUUGUAGAGGGGGGUAGAAUUCCAGGUGUAGCGGUGAAAUGCGUAGAGAUCUGGAGGAAUACCGGUGGCGAAGGCGGCCCCCUGGACAAAGACUGACGCUCAGGUGCGAAAACGUGGGGAGCUAACAGGAUUAGAUACCCUGGUAGUCCACGCUGUAAACGAUGUCGACUUGGAGGUUGUGCCCUUGAGGCGUGGCUUCCGGAGCUAACGCGUUAAGUCGACCGCCUGGGGAGUACGGCCGCAAGGUUAAAACUCAAAUGAAUUGACGGGGGCCCGCACAAGCGGUGGAGCAUGUGG